rfam:Triticum urartu cultivar G1812 contig1204449, whole genome shotgun sequence.
CCGCUGGACGAGGAUGAGGUGGUCUCCUACAUCACCGGCGGGCUGGACAUGGAGUAUCAGCCGUUGGUGUCGGCCCUUGAUGCCCGCACCGAGCCGGUCACCCUCGAAGAUCUAUUCGCUCAGAUGAGAAACUUUGAUC